ensembl:lincRNA Gm26890 predicted gene, 26890
GUCUCUGUGAAUGUAAACCUGGCCCCGUUUCUCUCUUGCUCAGAAUCCCGUGGCUGUGGGAGAAGGCCAGUUUCUUUACUAUAGUUUUCAGGGCCAUAGAUAGUUUGGAUAUUCCCUAUGAGGUGCUGAGAAUGAAAGCCAGGAAAGGGCUAGUGUCAGGCAGAUGCUCUACCCCUGAGUCAAGUCCCCAGAUCUGAGCUGGGAUUACAAGUGUGUGCCUCCCUGCCUUUUCUCUGAUUUGAAUAAAGAAUUUCGAUCUACAGGACCUGAUGUGGCACACUUUUAAUUCUUGCAUUAAAGGGAGGCAGAGGCAGGCGUGUUUCUGAGUUUGAGGCCUGAUCUUUAUAGCAAGUUUCGGGUCACACAGGGCUACAUAGGGAGACUGUCUCAAAGGAAAAAAGGAAAAGAACUACAAUCCCCUGUUGAGGCACAGGUGGGAAAUAAGUCUCUUGGAAGGCCCAGCUGGCCCCCUCCUGGGCCAGGCAUCACUAUGGAGGUCAUCACUAUGGAGGCAGGGCUGUCCUCUGCAUUGAACUGUGAGCCUUAGAGGGUGGAGCUUGAGCUGUCGGGACUGGGCAUCUGCUAGUACGUGCUGAAGUAAUAGGAGGCACUGAAUGACAGGGAACACGCCCAUAUGGACUGCUGCCCCAUCUGAGCCAAGAGGGAGCACAGCCUGGUGGUAAGAGUGGAUUCAGUUGAUUUGUUUGCCUCUGAUGCUGGGGGUGGAACCUAGAGAUUAUCCAUGCCAGGUAAAUGCUCCACUCAGCCUGGAUUUAGCAUCUCAGGAAGAUUCUUAGAGUAGGGCUCACAGAGCCAAGAGUUAGAGGAAACUAACUGUGGAUAAGUGAAUAAAGAAGCUGUGGGAGAUCGCUCAGUGCUUAAAGCACUUGCUACAAAAGCACGAGGACCAGUUCACAUGGCGGCCUGCCUGGCGUUCAGCCUCCGGAAGGCAGAGGCUGGUUCCGUAGAUCAAGCCGGCUAGCGAGAUCACCCCAUCAGCUAGCUUUGAGUUUGAGUGAGAGGCCAUGGUUAAGUGAACAAGGUGGGAGAGUGGCAUGCGCCUCAGGCCUCCACAAGUGUGUGCACCUACACAUGCCCACAUUCGUGCAAACAUGCACACACGUGAAAGUAGAAAAAGGAAAGUGACUAUAUACAUACACUGAAAAGCUAUUUACAUCCAGUGUGGAGCACAAAGCCAGUGACACACUGGGAGCAGAGGCAGCUGGAGCUCUGUGAGUUCCAGGUUAUAGUAAGACAUGGUGAGACCUUUGCAUCCCCCUCCAUCCCCAACACACACACACACAAAACCCCCAAAAUCAGAAAGACAGUAUGUCUGGUUUCUGCAUGCCAGGUGAUGUAAACACGGAGAGUGGCAAUUGUUGGCUGGGUGCGGAGAGAGGGGUGUUCUUCAUGAGGUAGAGUUUGCACUUUGGAAGAUGAGGCCAUUGUAAGAUGGGAAGCAUAGUUCACACAGACAGGUGUGUGUUAGUUGAUACACCGUGCACUCAAGCAGUUAAAGGCUGGGCUGGACAUCAGUCGAGUAGAGCACUUGCCUAUUAUGAGCAGGGCUCUGGGUUUAAUCCCCAGCGCAGCAAAGAAGUUAAAAUGGAAAUAGUUGAGCAUAGAUCCUAUGUUAGGUACUUUUUACCACAGUAACAUUUAUCCUAAAGUUGGAAAAAAUAAGCAAAAGGUAGAAAGGAGUUAGACCUGUCUGCAGUCGGACAGUUUCUGCUCAUGCUAGGGUGGUUGUUCAAAUGCAGGCCCGUGGUUGCCGCCUUUCCUCCUGUGGGAAAUGGGUGUCUUGAGGAGUGCAGAGAUUGAGCCGGGGAUGUUCUUACAAACAGUGCUGUUUGUGAGAGCCUGGCUGUUAGGGCUCCUUGACUUUCCACAGUGUCACCCCCCCCGCCCCCCCCCCCCCCCAGGCAUGCUCUGGCCUGGAGACACUUUACUUGGGCUCUGUGCCUGUCACUUCUGAGAUGCAGAUGCCUCCAAGGGCUUUCACACACUUGCCAGACCCCAUGUUGCACCUGGCAGUCCCUAGAGUCUUGGCCUCAGACUCCAUGGAGGCCCUGUGGCCUGAGGAACUGAAGAAGGCAGGCCGCAGCCCCAGGACUUGAUUUCACAGCCACCCAGCUGUACCCUAUCAGCUUUUUCUUUGUGAACUCAGGGUCUUGACAGCCCAGUAACCCGCAGAGUCAGAUGAGCAGGGUACCAGCUGUGGUCACUUUGGGUCUUUGCACAGGGCCUGUAUCCACUCCGUGCUGGGGGGGAGUGGGUGACAGACAAUGACAUGGAGCUGGGGUGUCUAGAGUGUGAGUACCUUGGCCACUGGGAGGCUGUGGCUUCUAACAGCCGAGUCUUCUGUCAGAGAGGACUCUUGUCUUCUCUUACUUGGUUUACAGGCCUUGAGAGUCCUUUAGGGACCAGGCCCUGGGGACAGACACAGCAGCGAGCAAAACACAUCCCUACCCCCUGGGAGGGACAUAGUGCUUCAUGUUCUUGAGGGAGGCAGGUGGUGAUGAAGCUAGCUGAGCUAGGAUAGCAGGUGCUGGUCGCUACCCUGAAGGAAACUUGAGGACCCAAGGCACUCACAUGGGGUUGCUUGGGAGGCUCUAGGAGAUGUGAGGUAAUUGGAGUAGUCCUAAGAGGGAACAACAGUGUAGAGGCCCAUAAGCCUGGGCCAGGAGAGCAGAAGAAAGUCAGGCCGACACCCAGAGGGUACUUGGGGAGAGGAGGGUCGUGGCAUUGAGGGACAAGGAAAGCACUGCAGAGAGCCAGGGAAAAGAUGACCGGGACAGCAGGACUCAACCAGAGCAAGUGCUGAGACUCUGGCAGAACUGUGCUCUGUGGAGCAGCAUAGAGCCCCUCCUGUGGCUCUCCCUGGUUCAUGUGAUGUGACCCCAGUAACUGGCAGACCAGUGCAGUUUUGCUGUCCCCACAUAGUUUAUACUUUCCAUGAUGCUUUUGUCGUGAUGUGGCUUAAGGGUUUGUAACCUUUCCCUAGCCCCAGGACUCAAGCUUGAGAUGAUGCACUAGGGAGGCUCCUAUGUAGGUGCGCUUUUUUGGGCUGGUUUUGGUUUGUUUUAUUAUUUAUUUUUUAAAUUAUUUGUGUCAAAAACAGGAGGUGGUGGUGCUCAUCUUUAAUCCUAGCACUAAAGGGGCAGACGCAGGUGCAUCUCAUUCAAGGCCAACCUGGUCUACAGAGUGAGUUCCAGGACAUCCAGGGCUACACAGAGAAACCCUGUCUUG